GACACAAUAGUGCAACGGUUAGCACGCGCCUUCGGAAAAGGCAAAGCCUGAGUUCAACUCCCAUCUGACGUUCA